GGGUGGGUAGCGAAGUGGUCAAACGCAUCUGACUGUAAAUCAGACGGCCUUGUGCCUUCGCAGGUUCGAACCCUGCCCCACCCA
rnacentral:tRNA from 2 species